UUCCUACGGGAGGCAGCAGUGGGGAAUAUUGCACAAUGGGGGAAACCCUGAUGCAGCAACGCCGCGUGAGUGAAGAAGUCAUUCGUGAUGUAAAGCUCUAUCAGCAGGGAAGAAAAUGACGGUACCUGAGUAAGAAGCCCCGGCUAACUACGUGCCAGCAGCCGCGGUAAUACGUAGGGGGCAAGCGUUAUCCGGAUUUACUGGGUGUAAAGGGAGCGUAGACGGACUUGCAAGUCUGAUGUGAAAAUCCGGGGCCCAACCCCGGAACUGCAUUGGAAACUGUAUAUCUAGAGUGUCGGAGAGGC
rnacentral:rRNA from 1 species